rnacentral:rRNA from 1 species
CACGAACGACUCUCGGCAACGGAUAUCUCGGCUCUCGCAUCGAUGAAGAACGUAGCGAAAUGCGAUACUUGGUGUGAAUUGCAGAAUCCCGUGAACCAUCGAGUCUUUGAACGCAAGUUGCGCCCGAAGCCGUCAGGCUGAGGGCACGUCUGCCUGGGUGUCACGCAU